GACGAACGCUGGCGGCGUGCCUAACACAUGCGAGUCGAACGGGGUGAUUCCUUCGGGGAUCACUUAGUGGCGAACGGGUGAGUGACGCGUGAGGAACCUGCCUCUCAGUGGGGGACAACAGUUGGAAACGACUGCUAAUACCGCAUAAAGUUUUCGGACCGCAUGAUCUGAAAACCAAAGAUUUAUUGCUGAGAGAUGGCCUCGCGUCUGAUUAGCUAGUUGGUGGGGUAACGGCCCACCAAGGCAACGAUCAGUAGCCGGUCUGAGAGGAUGAACGGCCACAUUGGGACUGAGAUACGGCCCAGACUCCUACGGGAGGCAGCAGUGGGGAAUAUUGGGCAAUGGGGGAAACCCUGACCCAGCAACGCCGCGUGAAGGAAGAAGGCCUUCGGGUUGUAAACUUCUUUUACCAGGGACGAAGAACGUGACGGUACCUGGAGAAAAAGCAACGGCUAACUACGUGCCAGCCGCCGCGGUAAGAC
rnacentral:rRNA from 1 species